AGGCCUGGUCAGGGGCCCAGGGUAAAGCUAGUUCAUACUGUCUUUUCUGGGUGAAUAGUUCGAGCUCACUGAGACUACCUGGGAAUUGAGAAGAUGCACAGGAAAAGUACUUUAUACCCUCGGAUGUCUACUCUCUAUCAAACAUUGCAAGAGUUUUGUAAGGACAGGGUGGCCUGGCUCCACACUCACUGGCAGGUGCUGCCCUCAAGGGGCUGCUCCUCCUUUCAGGUAGAAGAGGGUUUCUCAGGUUCUGCUGGUGAACCAAGGUCGCUGAGUACCAUCUUCAUUGGCACUGUAGCCCGUUUGACCCAAGGCUAGAAUCCAGCCCGGGCGGGGACAAUGCUUUCUGGCUGGCACCCAAAGCAACAGCAUCCCCAAAGAACAUUCAAGUCUGAGCCUCAAGGAGCCUCUGCGACUCGGUGUCUAGAUCCAGGAAAUGGAGAAUGAGCCGUGACUUUGGAUGCUUCACUCUUGUCCAUCAGGCUCGGAAUUGGUGAGCAUCUCCCACAUUACCGUCUCCAACGGAACAAGGUGCCCCAUUGGACAUUUCCUCUGCAUGGACCAGCCAUUCUCCAAAUCUGCCCCCAUGUCACCCCAGCUCCCCAUCGCAGUCACUUCUCACUCCUUGUCCCCUGUCCCCCUGAGUGACAGGACUUUUGCCAGUUAGGUCCUGUCCCUGUUUCUGAUCUUGGGUCCAUUCCCCAUGGUCCCUUUCUUGCUUGUGCCUUGGGAUCUCAGGCCUGUUGAAGUAGGAGGCAGGACUCAACUUCAGACCAGAUUGAAGACUGGCUGACACAGAAGAGGCACCAAAAGCACCUCUCUCUCCAUAAGACAUGCCCACCAGUGCCAUGACAGUUUACCAUUGCUAUGGCAAUGCCCAGAAGUUCUCACCCCUUUUCCAGACAUUUCUGCAUAAUCUACCCCUCAAUUGGCAUGUGAUCAAAAGUGGGUGUCAAAAUGACUGUGGAACUGUCCCUGAGCUGCUACUCUUGACAUGCUGGUUACAGGGUAGCCCGGCUCUGCAGGGACAGUCACGGAGCUGAAAAACUGCUGCCUAAUGAAGCUGUUUUCUUC
ensembl:lncRNA novel transcript